rnacentral:tmRNA from 1 species
GGGGAUGACUGGCUUCGACAGGAGAGGCUGGCUCCGGAAUGCGAGCCGAGAGGCGCCGACCUCGAUAACUCAGCGCAAAAAAUCAAGUGCCAACCGCACUUCCUACGCCGCUAUGCCCCUCGCUGCCUAAUCCGCAGUAGAGAGUUAACCGGUCCGUCCCCAAGGGGACGGCGUCCACCGUUCCCGUCCCCAUCCCGGAGAGCGAGUGGGCGUCAAAAAGGGUGGGUGCCGCGUCUGACGGUCACGCAUGACGCGAAAGAGGGCCUUCGGGCCUGAGUGAAUGGUCGCAGGUGGUUUUGCCGAUUGAGCAGCCUGUGGCGACACGCGUCAACCGGCUACGCUCGUAGAUGUCCGCGGGUUGAAUCUUUUGGACGCGGGUUCGAUUCCCGCCAUCUCCACUC